rnacentral:rRNA from 1 species
GACGAACGCUGGCGGCGUGCUUAACACAUGCAAGUCGAACGGAAAGGCCCUGCUUUUGUGGGGUGCUCGAGUGGCGAACGGGUGAGUAACACGUGAGUAACCUGCCCUUGACUUUGGGAUAACUUCAGGAAACUGGGGCUAAUACCGGAUAGGAGCUCCUGCUGCAUGGUGGGGGUUGGAAAGUUUCGGCGGUUGGGGAUGGACUCGCGGCUUAUCAGCUUGUUGGUGGGGUAGUGGCUUACCAAGGCUUUGACGGGUAGCCGGCCUGAGAGGGUGACCGGCCACAUUGGGACUGAGAUACGGCCCAGACUCCUACGGGAGGCAGCAGUGGGGAAUAUUGCACAAGGGCGGAAGCCUGAUGCAGCAACGCCGCGUGCGGGAUGACGGCCUUCGGGUUGUAAACCGCUUUCGCCUGUGACGAAGCGUGGGUGACGGUAAUGGGUAAAGAAGCACCGGCUAACUACGUG